rnacentral:tRNA from 1 species
GCAAUUCGUGGCAAUAGUGGGUAAUUUCGGGAUAUUAAAAUCAGAUUUAAAAUCAAUUAGUUGUAAGCUAAAUCAAUUGUGGUAAAUGCUGCGUUUCUGCCCUCCGAAGGCAGAGGCCACAGGUUCGAAUCCUGUCGGGUGCGCCA